rnacentral:rRNA from 1 species
GACGAACGCUGGCGGCGCGCCUAAUGCAUGCAAGUCGAACGAGGAUUAGCCUUCGGGCGAAAUCCUAGUGGCAGACGGCUGAGUAACGCGUGAGUGACCUGCCCUUGAGAGGGGGAUAACACCGGGAAACCGGUGCUAAUACCCCGUACGCUCUCCGGUGUAAAGGCCGGAGAGGAAAUGAAUUUCGCUCGAGGAGGGGCUCGCGUCCUAUCAGGUAGUUGGUGAGGUAACGGCUCACCAAGCCGAAGACGGGUACCUGGUGUGAGAGCACGACCAGGCAGAGGGGGACUGAGACACGGCCCCCACUCCUACGGGAGGCAGCAGCAGGGAAUCUUCCACAAUGGGCGAAAGCCUGAUGGAGCGACGCCGCGUGGGGGAGUGAAGGUUUUCGGAUCGUAAACCCCUUUUCUCAGGGAAGAGUAAGGACGGUACCUGAGGAAUAAGCAUCGGCUAACUACGUGCCAGCAGCCGCGGUAAUACGUAGGAUGCUAGCGUUGUCCGGAAUCACUGGGCGUAAAGGGUCCGGUA